GUUAUCCAGAAGUAAGGGAUGUUACUCGGUGGGGAGGGUUGAGACAUUAGCGGGAAGAGCAGGGAUGAGGGAAGAUGGCAACACAGGGAGAUCCACGAGCUCUUUUUUGAGGACUUCUAUUUUGGGGGGAAGGAGGAAAAAACUUCUCUCUGGCAUUCAUCUCCCUGAUCAGAAAAGUUUUUCCGACCAGAAACAUAUCUCUCUGUUUCCGCUCCUCUGCCAGCGCUGCUAACAUCACAGAUAGAUGCCCUAAUUAGAAUCAGCGUCAUAAGUCUAUAAAGAGUUACAGCAACCCGGGGCUUUUCCAGCCUCAUUGUCCACCCAUCUCCCUCCUGCUGCUGGAAGUCCCUAAGCACGCAGUUAAGUUCAAGCCUGCUAGCACACUCUUUUGGUCUCAUCAGUGGGACACGAUCUGGUUCUCACUAUGUGGUACCUCCUUUAUAUCCAUCUUCUGACAGUGCCUGUUGUUCAGCUAUCCUAUACUGAUAAUACCACAGUGCCUUUUCCCAUCUAUCUGAGAUCCAACUCCCAGUCCUGUGUGGGGACCCUCAUUCACCUACAGUGGAUGUUGACUGCUGCUCACUGCUUCUUACCAUACCAGCAAAUGAUCAUAAGCAAGGAUAUCCAGUCCAGCUAAGAGGAACCUGAGGUGGUACCCUAGGAGAAAGUCAACCCUCACAAAAAAAUUCACAGUCAUCUCAUCUGAACAUGACAUUGUAUUGAUCAAACUGGCUUUCUCCAUCACGCUCCCAAGCUCUUUCAUAUAUCUACCCCUUGAUGGUCACAAGGCAGAUGGCCUCUGCACUGCCUCCAGUUGGGACUAGAACAUGAGCAAGCCUUCAGGAAAUCUCUGCAGCUGCAGCCAUCCUUGGAAGGAAGCUCAUUGAGAUCCUAUCUUGGGUUUGUGGGUAUGUCCUGAAUGGUGAUGUGGGCAUCUAUACCAAGAUUUACUACUGUGCCCCUUGGAUCCAAGAUGUUAUCUAUGAAAAUUGAAGCCCAUUGCCUCUGAUCUCUGACCACCAGUCACAAACUGGCUCCCUCACCCUGUGGCAUGCUGGACUUCUUCCCAACCCUGUCUUGGACCUCAGAACGGGAACCCAAUAGAGACACCUCUGACUACAUCUAUAUAUGUGACUCUUCUUUACUUGGCUCUGUUCUUCUCUCUGUACAUUCCCUUAAAUAAGAGACUCAUACCACAGGCCAAUGGUUAUGGUAGAUGCCCUGGCACCUUCAC